GGGGAAAAUUAAAAAUUUAAAUUUAAUAAAAAAAAUUUUAAUAUUAAAAAGAAAAAUGGGGGUUUAAGUAUUUUUAAUAGAAAAAAUUAAUAUUUUUAUAGUUAAAUAUUACUGUAAAGGAAUUUAUAAAUAAAUGAAAUAAAAUUAAUAAUAAAGUAAAUUUAAUUUAUUGUAUCUUGUGUAUCAGAGUUUAUUAAAUAAUAAUAAUUUAUUUAAAUAAAUCUCGAAUUUAAAAGAGUUAAUUAAUUAAUAAAGUUAAUGUUGAAUAAUUAUUUUUAAUAAUUAAUUAGAAAUGAAAUGUUAAUCGUUUUUAAAUAUAUCUAGUUUUUUCAGAAAAAAAUUUAAUUUUAAAUUUAAAUAAUUUUAUAAUUAAUUAAUUAAUUAUAAAAAUUUAAAAUUUAAUAUUUUAGGGGAUAAGCUUUAAAUUAAAAAUUUAUAAUUAAAUUAAAAUUAAAAUUAAAAUUUUUAAAAUUUAUAUUGUUUAAAAAUUAUAAUUUAUUAUAAAAAAUUUUAUUUAAAAUAAAAUUUAAAAUAAGAAAAUUUAAAUUUUUAUGAAAAAAUAAUUUAUAAUUUAAUAAAAUUAGAAAUAAUGAUAAAAUUAGUAUAAUAAAAUAAAUAAAAUAAAAUUUAUAUAUAAUUAAAUUAAAGGAAUUCGGCAAACAUUUAUAUUCACUUGUUUAUCAAAAACAUGUCUUUUUGAUAAUAAUUUAAAGUCUAAUCUGCCCACUGAUAUAAAUAUUAAAGGGCUGCAGUAUAUUGACUGUACAAAGGUAGCAUAAUCAUUAGUCUUUUAAUUGGAGACUUGUAUGAAAGAUUUGAUGAGAUAUAAACUGUCUCUAAUUUAUGAUUAGAAAUUAAUUUUUUAGUUAAAAAGCUAAAAUAAAAUUAAAAGACGAGAAGACCCUAUAGAGUUUUAUAUUUUAUUUAUUUAAUUUUAAAUAUAUAAUUAAAUAUAUUAAUUAAAUAAAAUAUUGUAUUGGGGUGAUAGAAAAAUUUAAUAAACUUUUUUUAAAAAUAAACAUAAAUAAGUGAGUAAUUGAUCCAUUUAUAGUGAUUAAAAGAAAAAAUUACCUUAGGGAUAACAGCGUAAUAUUUUUUUUUAGUACAAAUAAAAAAAAAAGUUUGCGACCUCGAUGUUGGAUUAAGAUAAAAUUUAAAUGCAAAAGUUUAAAAUUUUGAUCUGUUCGAUCAUUAAAAUCUUACAUGAUCUGAGUUCAAACCGGUGUAAGCCAGGUUGGUUUCUAUCUUUAAUAAAAAAAAAUAUUUUAGUACGAAAGGAUCAAAUAUUUAAAAUAAUUUUAGUUAAAUGAAUAUUAAUAAUAUAAUAUA
rnacentral:rRNA from 1 species